UGCUCGGUUAAUAUCUUUUGUUUUUCUCGUUGCUGGGUUGUUGUCUCGUAGAUAUGUACACCAUAGCUUGCUUUGUACUUUUAGAUAAUAUUUUGAUCUUGUUGUGUUUAGUUCUAUAUCGCUUUUUGUCUUUAUAAUAUUUUCUGCAUGUCAGAAUUUUCUAGUGGGUUUUCAUGGUUCAUUAUUUUAUUAAUGGCGUUUGAUUUAUCUUUUUUUUUCUUCUUUUUUUUUUCUUUUUUGGUUUUACAUAUAUUUUGUAUAUUCACGAUAAAUAAUGAUAUAAAGGUGUCUUCUUGUCUCAUAUGAAAGGUAAUUGACCUGUUGUGACAUUAUUAUCAUUUAUAGGUCAUGUGAUUCUACUUUAACACGACUGUCCUUCCAAAGUACUCUAUCUGGGUGACAUAGAGAACAGGAGAAGCUAUCAUUAUAUAUGUAGUAGUUCUUGUGUUCUGUGUUGAUAAUAAGAAUAGUAUAAUUGCAAAACAGGAAAAACUAGCAAGAUACAUUAACCUAAAAAUUAAAAAAAAAGUGGGAAGCCAAUCCAGUGUAUAAGCACCUAGCUGUGAUCGAUAGGGUUUUCGUGCUACAAUUUUUCAACAGUUUCAAUUUCAGGAUGCUGUCUCUUUAUUUGUAUCUAAUGUUGUGUUGUAAAUAUAUAUCCUGCAUAUUGUGUCUGAACAUAGCUAGUCUUUUAUCGUUUAUCUGUUCAUGACUGGUUGGAUUUUAGCUCCACGAAUGACCAAAAAAUGUGUCACGAGUACGAGUAUGAUCAGAAAUAUUCAAAAUUCAAAAAAUGUGUCAAUGUGGUACGAGUAUGAUCAGAAAU
rnacentral:lncRNA from 1 species